AGUAUCAUAACCAAUGAAGUUAAUCUGAGGUGUGAUUAUUGCUAGUUGAAAACUUUUCCCUGC
ensembl:snRNA U4 U4 spliceosomal RNA